rnacentral:rRNA from 1 species
GAGAUGUCCCAUCCGAAAGGAGUAAGACCCCUUGAAGACGACGAGGUAGAUAGGGCAGAGGUGGAAGUGCAGCAAUGUAUGGAGCUGACUGCUACUAAUCGGUCGAGGGCUUGACCUAAAA